rnacentral:rRNA from 1 species
AGAGUUUGAUCAUGGCUCAGGACGAACGCUGGCGGCGUGCUUAACACAUGCAAGUCGCGGGGGCGGAGCAAUCCGCCACCGGCGGACGGGUGCGUAACACGUAAGUAACCUGCCCAGAAGUGGGGAAUAACUGGCCGAAAGGCUGGCUAAUACCGCAUGUGUUGGUCUUUCUCUGGAGAGGUCAAUAAAGGCGAAAGUCGCUUCUGGAGGGGCUUGCGGCCGAUUAGUUAGUUGGUGGGGUAAUGGCCUACCAAGACCGCGAUCGGUAGCUGGUCUGAGAGGACGGACAGCCACACGGGGACUGAGAUACGGCCCCGACUCCUACGGGAGGCAGCAGCUAGGAAUCUUGGGAAUGGGCGAAAGCCUGACCCAGCAACGCCGCGUGGGCGAUGAAGGCCUUCGGGUCGUAAAGCCCUUUUGCAGGGGACGAUGAUGACGGUACCCUGCGAAUAAGCCACGGCUAACUACGUGCCAGCAGCCGCGGUAAUACGUAGGUGGCGAGCGUUGUCCGGAUUUACUGGGCGUAAAGGGCGUGCAGGCGGUCUGUUAAGUCUAGGGUGAAAGCUCCCGGCUCAACUGGGAGAGGUCCUUGGAUACUGGCGGACUUGAGGGAGGCAGAGGAGAAUGGAAUUCCCGGUGUAGUGGUGAUAUGCGUAGAUAUCGGGAGGAACACCAGUGGCGAAGGCGGUUCUCUGGGCCUUACCUGACGCUGAGACGCGAAAGCGUGGGGAGCGAACCGGAUUAGAUACCCUCGUAGUCC